rnacentral:lncRNA from 1 species
AGUUACUUGCCGCGUGCUGUCAAGUAAGUUACAACACCCCUCUGAUGCUCUUCCGUAAAAUGAAGCUAACCGUGUAUUAUGGAGAGGAUUACCACCUCACCAUAGACUGUCCUUGCAGAAGAAGCUUCUGCAGUGCCUGAGUCUUUGUAAAAGUGACGUGAAGAGAUUUUCAUGUUGGAAAGAUGACUAACUGCAUCGUAGAAUUAAUGUGAAAGGGUGGCCCAAGGAAGCAAGUUUCUUCACAGCUAUUGCAAUAAACAGGGUCUACUGGAGACCUUGGCUUUUUAUUUCCCUGACACAACUUCACACUGCUGGAGCAAUGCUUGGAUUGCUCUGGAAACACUGGCAAAUCUCAAGAUGCAGUUCAGGCUUCUCCAUGAUGAGUGUGAGUCCCUAGGCUGUCUCUCAAACUAAAGAUUCCCCAGCCAGGCAACUCUAAAGAGUCUUCGACAAGGCAACACAAUUACUCUGUGUGCUUAGAAGAAGAGGGGUCAUAAAUGUCAGCUGUUGCUCUUUGAGUCCUGCUAAUUCAUUCAUUGAUUCACUCAUCUUUCCCACAGGCAUGUGCUGUGCGUUUACUGUACUGCAUGACACUGUGGAGGUUAUAAAGAAAUAAAAUAUUUGGGGCUUACUCUCUAUGAAAUAAAAUUCUAAUUCUUUCUACCAUAUAUUCUUAUGUGAGAUCCCAGCCUGCUCUACCUGGUGCCUGCUCUACCUGUUACCUGGACUAGGGCAUUUCUGUAUCAGAUUAAAUUUAAAGGUGUUUCAAUAGUUAAUAAUGAUCAAACGUUAUAAAUAUUGGGAAACUAUAAUGGAUGAGGUGAAAAAGAAAAGGCCACUAAGUAGAAAAUUAGAUAAAAUAGACAUAUAUAAAAUUAAGUCAUGUGUUAUGGGCUAAACUGUGUCCCCCACAAAAUUCAUGUUGGGGUCAGUACCUCAGAAUGUGUCUGUAUUUGGAGACAGGGCCUUUAUAGAAAUAAUUAAAUUAAAAUGAGGUCACUAGGGUCAGCUCUAAUCCAACAAGAUGGGCAUCCUGAUAGGAAGAGGGAAUUUGGAUACAGAGGGAAGAUUAUAUAAAGACACGGGGAGAGGAUGACCAUCUACAAGACCAAGAGAGAGGCCUGUCCGUAAGAAACCAACCCUCAAGGAGAGAGGCCUUUCUGUAAGAAACCAACCCUGCCAGCACCCAGCUUUUGGAGCUCUAGUCUCCAGAAAUGUGAAAUAAAUUUCUUUUGUUUAAGCCA